GGCUCAGGACGAACGCUGGCGGCGUGCCUAAUACAUGCAAGUCGAACGGUCUUUCUAUGGAAGCUUGCUUCCACUGAGAAGAUAGUGGCGAACGGGUGAGUAACACGUGGGUAACCUGCCCAUAAGAGGGGGGAUAACAUCCGGAAACGGGUGCUAAUACCGCAUAGUUUUCUUGAUCGCAUGAUUGAGAAAGGAAAGACGGCCUUUGUGCUGUCGCUUAUGGAUGGACCCGCGGCGUAUUAGUUAGUUGGUGAGGUAACGGCUCACCAAGACGAUGAUACGUAGCCGACCUGAGAGGGUGAUCGGCCACAUUGGGACUGAGACACGGCCCAAACUCCUACGGGAGGCAGCAGUAGGGAAUCUUCCGCAAUGGACGAAAGUCUGACGGAGCAACGCCGCGUGAGUGAAAGAAGGUUUUCGGAUCGUAAAACUCUGUUGUCAGAGAAGAACAAGUUGGAGAGUAACUGCUCCAGCCUUGACGGUAUCUGACCAGAAAGCCACGGCUAACUACGUGCCAGCCGCGGC
rnacentral:rRNA from 1 species